rnacentral:rRNA from 1 species
GUCUGUGAUGCCCUUAGAUGUUCUGGGCCGCACGCGCGCUACACUGAUAAAGGCAGCGAGUAUAUCACCUUGAUUGAAAAGUCUGGGUAAUCUUGUGAAUCUUUAUCGUGCUGGGGAUAGACCAUUGCAAUUAUUGGUCUUCAACGAGGAAUUCCUAGUAAGCGCAAGUCAUCAGCUUGCGUUGAUUACGUCCCUGCCCUUUGUACACACCGCCCGUCGGUACUACCGAUUGAAUGGCUUAGUGAGAUCUUCGGAUUGCCAGUUCUUGCUGAAAGGCUAGAAUUGAUAAAAAGUUGCUCAAACUUGGUCAUUUAGAGGAAGUAAAAGUCGUAACAAGGUUUCCGUAGGUGAACCUGCGGAAGGAUCAUUAACAAAAUAUAAUUUUACCUUUGUGAAUUGGGUAGCUAAUUUAUUAGCCGCCUCUUUUUAACUUUAAGUCUAAAUCUAUACAAUAAUUAUAUAAUAAUUUUUAACAAUGGAUCUCUAGGCUCUUGCAACGAUGAAGAACGCAGUCAAUUGCGAUAAGUAAUGUGAAUUGCAUUACCUGUGAAUCAUCGAAUCUUUGAACGCAUUUUGCACUUUGUCUCUGGCAAAGUAUAUCUGUUUGAGUAUCAUAAAACCCUGUUACAAUUGUAGCAUUAUGAAUCAUCAAGAAUUUGUCGUUCAAAAUAUAUAAAACAAAACUGUGUGGUAAUUAUUACACAAUUGUUCUAUCUAACUUUGAUCUCAAAUCAGAUAAGAAUACCCGCUGAACUUAAGCAUAUCAGUAAGCGGAGGAAAAGAAACUAACAAGGAUUCCCUCAGUAAUGGCGAAUGAACCGGGAAAAGCUCAAAUUUUAAAUCCGAGAGAUUUUCUCUCCGAAUUGUAGUUUAUAGAGACGUUUUCGUGAAAUGCAUUGAUAAAAGUUCUUUGGAAAAAGACAUCAUAGAGGGUGAGAAUCCCGUAAAUGAUCUUUGCAAUUUUCAUAUAUGAUACGUUUUCUACGAGUCGAGUUGUUUGGGAAUGCAGCUCAAAAUGGGUGGUAAAUUUCAUCUAAAGCUAAAUAUUGGCAAGAGACCGAUAGCGAACAAGUACCGUGAGGGAAAGAUGAAAAGAACUUUGAAAAGAGAGUUAAAAGUACGUGAAAUUGUUAAAAAGGAAACGAUUGAGACCAGUAUUGGCUUAACUACAAAACUGUUACACGUAGCAGCGGUCGUUUUUAAGUCAAGUCAGCAUCAGUUUUAAGCAUUGGAUAAGGCUUCUGUUUAAGCUGAUUUUUCAGCAAGGACAGUUGAGAAACAAUGUUUGGGAUUGAGGUUUGCUGCGUUUGCAAAGACUAGCGUAACUUUUUAGUGCAUUACUGCAGACAACAUGUUGACUGCAUUAGUGUAUUGAUUAGAAUCGCGAACUCUAUUUUACGCAAAGGAUGCUG